UAAUAUGAGAGAAAGGGUAUACCAAAGGAUAUUGGUAAAUCAACAUAAAUAUCAAUUGAAACCAAUGUGAAACUCAGUAACUGCAUUCACGAAGUCUAGUACUUCUAGCACUUUAGUUAAAUAAGGAGAGAUUCUAACAAUGAAUUCAACAUGAUUUAUUGAUCAAUAUAGUUUAGUCAACUGGCACUUUAACUCUGAUUGCCCAUUAUGAAUUAAUUCCCAGUGGUCAUAGGAAUUACGCACGACUCCUCUGAGCUUGGGUGGAGCUCUGAAUAAUGUGAAAGAGGCGAAGAUUGGAAGGAAGUGUUUUGAGUAAAGGAGUCUGGAAGGGAGAAUGACAAAUAAGCAGUGAGAUUUAAAGCAUGUGGAGUGGAGGCUGAUUGGCUUAAAGAUGGAGGGCAGAGAGAUGAUUGGUACAGACCAGUGAUGUCAGCAAUGAGGUUGAUAGUAUGACAAAGUGGAAGUGAUGAAAAGCAAAUACUAGCCAGUGAACACCAAGGUAGUAAGCAGAUGUAUAGUUACAGAUCUUGCUUAUUGAACUUACGCAUACGCUUCAUUAGUACUCAAUGCAAAUAACUUCUUCCAUGAUUAUCUCCGCACAAAGGAAAAACACAAGAGCAUAUCACCCAGGUGUCAGCGAGGAAUUCACAGGCAACAAACUGCAAAGGAGACAUAUUUUAAAUGUGAAAAUGAUUUUGAUCUAUGUGAUCAUCGUAGCUUUGGCAGUGACUGUUGUGGGACAAGGGUCUUUGGAAUGCAAUCUAACUGAACCUGGACCCCAGACGUGUUUUGGAGUUUUAGGAGAACCACUUGUUUUUUACAUACCUAAGAAGCCACGUAUAAAGACAAGCUUGAAAAAGAGUACAGAUAAGAUUUUAAUGUUAAUAAAUGAUAAAUUAGUUACUCUCAAUGAAAAAUACAAGAAUCGUACUACAUUUUUCCCAAAUGGAACAUUGAAGCUCAAAAAAGUAACAAAAAAUGACUCUGGAGAGUACAGCAUGGAAACACACAUUUCUGCUGAAGGUGUGUUAUUGCACACAGUUAACAUCCAUCUACAUAUACUAGCUCCUGUGUCAGAACCAGCUGUUACGCAGAUGUGUUUGUCACCAAAACAGAUGACAGUCAGCUGUUUCUCUGAAGGAGACGAAGUAGAGUUCAUUUUGUCUUUGGAUGAUAAGUUGUUGAUACAGUCUACAGCUGACGGUAUAGAAAACAACAACAUUUCAAAUGUUACCAUCAACUUACCUGGUCAGCUGAUGGGAAACCUGACAUGUGUUGCUCAAAACAAUGCCAGCAGAAAACAAACUAUCACCCACCUUACAAGCUGCACAGCUCCUGUGUCAGAACCAGCUGUUUUGCAGAUGUGUUUGUCACCAGAACAGAUGACAGUCAGCUGCUCCUCUGAAGGAGAUGAAGUAGAGUUCAUCUUCUUAUUAGAUGAUAACUUGUUGAUAAAAACCCAACCCAGCAUUGCAGAAAACCACAACAUUUCAAAUGUUACCAUCAGUUUACAUGGUCAGCUGAUGGGAAAGCUAAUGUGUAUCAUCCGAAACAAUAUAAGCAGAGAACAAACCAUCAUCCACCUUAUAAGCUGCACAGGUACAACUUCUGUGGUGACUGUGGUUGUACUAACAAGUGUUGCACCUCUACUUCUCAGUUUCUCAAUUCUCACUUUACUUUUGACUGUUAAUAAAGGUGUUGCUGAAGAUAACAUUUUUUACUCCAAACUUGCAUACGAAGAAAACAUCAAUCAACACACAAAGGCCACAGCCAGAUGAGGGAGUCAGUCUCAGGGCUUUCUUGUUUUGAGGAAACAGUGCAAACAACCACAUCACCAUGCUGCCUCUACUCAUACAUUAUUACUUAUUUACAAGUAGUUAAUCUGCACAUUUAUAAUUUUUAUUCUUGUUAAUAAGCUCAUGUUUUACAUUUUUGCUUAACCCUUGGAGAUUAAAACAAGGCUCUGGUCAGUAGUGUUGGUGCUUUGCUUACAUUGUGUAUUGUUUAGAAAAUGUGAGCUGUGCCUCAAGCAUCAUAGCUACUCUUCACUGUGUGACCUUAGAAACCACAAACUAUAUCCUGUUUUCACUGAGCUGCUAAACCACAACUGCUGCCGUUGCACAGAGGUCAGUGUGCAACUACAGAAUCGGUAUCAUGCAUAACAAUGGCUUGUUUGUUCAUUAUUACAAAUCAUAGUAGAUGAUCCAUAAUAAUAAAUGCUCACUCAUUCUUAUGAAGCAACAAUACAAAAAACAUGAAGGGCACACAAGGCAGCUGGCAAUGAAUUUACAUAUUAGCCUGUUUCAUUGUGGAAAGAACUCUAACUGAUUAACUAACAUUUUAAUUAAAAUAUUUUAUGUGACACAAAUGCAGCGGUGAUAAGAAUGUUUGCUGACAUGUAUAAAAGCGACAGCGCAUAGAGAUUGUUGGCCGAGAUUUAGAUUUUUCAGUAAUAUUUGUCAUCAUGUGUCACUUUUGAAGUAUAAUAAAUAUUCUGUUUCC
ensembl:lncRNA